CGCCAGACUCCUACGGGAGGCAGCAGUGGGGAAUAUUGCACAAUGGGGGAAGCCCUGAUGCAGCGACGCCGCGUGAGCGAUGAAGUAUUUCGGUAUGUAAAGCUCCAUCAGCAGGGAAGAAGAUGACGGUACCUGACUAAGAAGCCCCGGCUAACUACGUGCCAGCAGCCGCGGUAAUACGUAGGGGGCAAGCGUUAUCCGGAUUUACUGGGUGUAAAGGGAGCGUAGACGGCGAUGCAAGCCAGAUGUGAAAGCCCGGGGCUCAACCCCGGGACUGCAUUUGGAACUGUGUGGCUGGAGUGUCGGAGAGGCAGGCGGAAUUCCUAGUGUAGCGGUGAAAUGCGUAGAUAUUAGGAGGAACACCAGUGGCGAAGGCGGCCUGCUGGACGAUGACUGACGUUGAGGCUCGAAAGCGUGGGGAGCAAACAGGAUUAGAUACCCGUGUA
rnacentral:rRNA from 1 species